GUGCCAGCCGCCGCGGUAAUACCGGCAGCCCAAGUGAUGGCCGAUCUUAUUGGGCCUAAAGCGUCCGUAGCUGGCCGCGCAAGUCCGUCGGGAAAUCCAUCAGCCCAACUGAUGGGCGUCCGGCGGAAACUGCACGGCUUGGGACCGGAAGGCUCGAAGGGUACGUUCGGGGUAGGAGUGAAAUCCCAUAAUCCCGCACGGACCACCGAUGGCGAAAGCACUCUGAGAAGACGGCUUCGACAGUGAGGGACGAAAGCUCGGGUCUCAAACCGGAUUAGAUACCCGGGUAGUCC
rnacentral:rRNA from 1 species